rnacentral:rRNA from 1 species
UGAACCUGCGGAGGGAUCAUUACAAGAACGCCCGGGCUUCGGCCUGGUUAUUCAUAACCCUUUGUUGUCCGACUCUGUUGCCUCCGGGGCGACCCUGCCUUCGGGCGGGGGCUCCGGGUGGACACUUCAAACUCUUGCGUAACUUUGCAGUCUGAGUAAACUUAAUUAAUAAAUUAAAACUUUUAACAACGGAUCUCUUGGUUCUGGCAUCGAUGAAGAACGCAGCGAAAUGCGAUAAGUAAUGUGAAUUGCAGAAUUCAGUGAAUCAUCGAAUCUUUGAACGCACAUUGCGCCCCCUGGUAUUCCGGGGGGCAUGCCUGUUCGAGCGUCAUUUCACCACUCAAGCCUCGCUUGGUAUUGGGCAACGCGGUCCGCCGCGUGCCUCAAAUCGUCCGGCUGGGUCUUCUGUCCCCUAAGCGUUGUGGAAACUAUUCGCUAAAGGGUGUUCGGGAGGCUACGCCGUAAAACAACCCCAUUUCUAAGGUUGACCUCGGAUCAGGUAGGGAUACCCGCUGAACUUAAGCAUAUCAAUAAGCG